GCAUAGAAUACUUGUUGUUUCUGCUCAGCGUGGCAGGAAGAUUAGACCAAGAAUUAAUAUUUUAAACUACGCAAGCCCCCCGCGGCAUACGAAGGGACUGCUCCCGUUAGGGUCAGAGAGCCCCGGACAGAUUAGGCGAUGAAAGCACUGGUUCCUCUGGCCGUGAAAAUAUACCGUGUAAAUUGCCAUUUAAGAUUUUUCAAAAAAACAUGUUCAACUAUAAGAAUUCCUUCAAAUUCGUUACACUCCACUGUGCAAGGCUACGCUUUGCUGGUCCAGGGUAAGGUAAAAAUGCAUGUCCUAAAAGGAGAGGUCGUAAAAGGAAAACAUUCACAUUUAAGCAUAUAUCUUGAACGGUAUUUUAAUUAUAAUUGUAAAAGAUCGUGCACUGUUCUCUUUAAAAUGCCAGGCUAUAACCCAAAAUAAUUUUGGAAGGAUGCAAACACAGGAAUUUUAACCAUGACGACCUCUUGGAAUAAAGAGAAAUUAAAGA